rnacentral:rRNA from 1 species
AUGUCGGUUUUUAACACCCCGAAGAAUAUUUGUAAGGCUAUCUGUGAUGCUAUUGCUAGAUAUUGGUGGGGUGACACGCAAGAAAAAAAGAAGAUCCACUGGAAGGCAUGGUGGAAGAUGUGCAUUCCUAAGAAAGAGGAAGGUACGGGCUUUCGUGAUUCACAUUGUUUUAACAAAGCUAUGCUAGCGAAGCAGUGUUGGAGGCUACUAUCCGAUCCAUACUCUCUAUGCGCCCAAGUACUACGGGCGAAAUAUUAUUCGGAUGGGGACUUGAUGAAUGCAUCUUUGAAAAAAGGUUCAUCGUAUACUUGGUAG